rnacentral:rRNA from 1 species
GGUUAAGCGACUAAGCGUACACGGUGGAUGCCCUGGCAGUCAGAGGCGAUGAAGGACGUGCUAAUCUGCGAUAAGCGUCGGUAAGGUGAUAUGAACCGUUAUAACCGGCGAUUUCCGAAUGGGGAAACCCAGUGUGUUUCGACACACUAUCAUUAACUGAAUCCAUAGGUUAAUGAGGCGAACCGGGGGAACUGAAACAUCUAAGUACCCCGAGGAAAAGAAAUCAACCGAGAUUCCCCCAGUAGCGGCGAGCGAACGGGGAGCAGCCCAGAGCCUGAAUCAGUGUGUGUGUUAGUGGAAGCGUCUGGAAAGGCGCGCGAUACAGGGUGACAGCCCCGUACACAAAAAUGCACAUGCUGUGAGCUCGAUGAGUAGGGCGGGACACGUGGUAUCCUGUCUGAAUAUGGGGGGACCAUCCUCCAAGGCUAAAUACUCCUGACUGACCGAUAGUGAACCAGUACCGUGAGGGAAAGGCGAAAAGAACCCCGGCGAGGGGAGUGAAAAAGAACCUGAAACCGUGUACGUACAAGCAGUGGGAGCACGCUUAGGCGUGUGACUGCGUACCUUUUGUAUAAUGGGUCAGCGACUUAUAUUCUGUAGCAAGGUUAACCGAAUAGGGGAGCCGAAGGGAAACCGAGUCUUAACUGGGCGUUAAGUUGCAGGGUAUAGACCCGAAACCCGGUGAUCUAGCCAUGGGCAGGUUGAAGGUUGGGUAACACUAACUGGAGGACCGAACCGACUAAUGUUGAAAAAUUAGCGGAUGACUUGUGGCUGGGGGUGAAAGGCCAAUCAAACCGGGAGAUAGCUGGUUCUCCCCGAAAGCUAUUUAGGUAGCGCCUCGUGAAUUCAUCUCCGGGGGUAGAGCACUGUUUCGGCAAGGGGGUCAUCCCGACUUACCAACCCGAUGCAAACUGCGAAUACCGGAGAAUGUUAUCACGGGAGACACACGGCGGGUGCUAACGUCCGUCGUGAAGAGGGAAACAACCCAGACCGCCAGCUAAGGUCCCAAAGUCAUGGUUAAGUGGGAAACGAUGUGGGAAGGCCCAGACAGCCAGGAUGUUGGCUUAGAAGCAGCCAUCAUUUAAAGAAAGCGUAAUAGCUCACUGGUCGAGUCGGCCUGCGCGGAAGAUGUAACGGGGCUAAACCAUGCACCGAAGCUGCGGCAGCGACACUAUGUGUUGUUGGGUAGGGGAGCGUUCUGUAAGCCUGUGAAGGUGUGCUGUGAGGCAUGCUGGAGGUAUCAGAAGUGCGAAUGCUGACAUAAGUAACGAUAAAGCGGGUGAAAAGCCCGCUCGCCGGAAGACCAAGGGUUCCUGUCCAACGUUAAUCGGGGCAGGGUGAGUCGACCCCUAAGGCGAGGCCGAAAGGCGUAGUCGAUGGGAAACAGGUUAAUAUUCCUGUACUUGGUGUUACUGCGAAGGGGGGACGGAGAAGGCUAUGUUGGCCGGGCGACGGUUGUCCCGGUUUAAGCGUGUAGGCUGGUUUUCCAGGCAAAUCCGGAAAAUCAAGGCUGAGGCGUGAUGACGAGGCACUACGGUGCUGAAGCAACAAAUGCCCUGCUUCCAGGAAAAGCCUCUAAGCAUCAGGUAACAUCAAAUCGUACCCCAAACCGACACAGGUGGUCAGGUAGAGAAUACCAAGGCGCUUGAGAGAACUCGGGUGAAGGAACUAGGCAAAAUGGUGCCGUAACUUCGGGAGAAGGCACGCUGAUAUGUAGGUGAAGUCCCUUGCGGAUGGAGCUGAAAUCAGUCGAAGAUACCAGCUGGCUGCAACUGUUUAUUAAAAACACAGCACUGUGCAAACACGAAAGUGGACGUAUACGGUGUGACGCCUGCCCGGUGCCGGAAGGUUAAUUGAUGGGGUUAGCCGCAAGGCGAAGCUCUUGAUCGAAGCCCCGGUAAACGGCGGCCGUAACUAUAACGGUCCUAAGGUAGCGAAAUUCCUUGUCGGGUAAGUUCCGACCUGCACGAAUGGCGUAAUGAUGGCCAGGCUGUCUCCACCCGAGACUCAGUGAAAUUGAACUCGCUGUGAAGAUGCAGUGUACCCGCGGCAAGACGGAAAGACCCCGUGAACCUUUACUAUAGCUUGACACUGAACAUUGAGCCUUGAUGUGUAGGAUAGGUGGGAGGCUUUGAAGUGUGGACGCCAGUCUGCAUGGAGCCGACCUUGAAAUACCACCCUUUAAUGUUUGAUGUUCUAACGUUGACCCGUAAUCCGGGUUGCGGACAGUGUCUGGUGGGUAGUUUGACUGGGGCGGUCUCCUCCUAAAGAGUAACGGAGGAGCACGAAGGUUGGCUAAUCCUGGUCGGACAUCAGGAGGUUAGUGCAAUGGCAUAAGCCAGCUUGACUGCGAGCGUGACGGCGCGAGCAGGUGCGAAAGCAGGUCAUAGUGAUCCGGUGGUUCUGAAUGGAAGGGCCAUCGCUCAACGGAUAAAAGGUACUCCGGGGAUAACAGGCUGAUACCGCCCAAGAGUUCAUAUCGACGGCGGUGUUUGGCACCUCGAUGUCGGCUCAUCACAUCCUGGGGCUGAAGUAGGUCCCAAGGGUAUGGCUGUUCGCCAUUUAAAGUGGUACGCGAGCUGGGUUUAGAACGUCGUGAGACAGUUCGGUCCCUAUCUGCCGUGGGCGCUGGAGAACUGAGGGGGGCUGCUCCUAGUACGAGAGGACCGGAGUGGACGCAUCACUGGUGUUCGGGUUGUCAUGCCAAUGGCACUGCCCGGUAGCUAAAUGCGGAAGAGAUAAGUGCUGAAAGCAUCUAAGCACGAAACUUGCCCCGAGAUGAGUUCUCCCUGACCCUUUAAGGGUCCUGAAGGAACGUUGAAGACGACGACGUUGAUAGGCCGGGUGUGUAAGCGCAGCGAUGCGUUGAGCUAACCGGUACUAAUGAACCGUGAGGCUUAACCUU